CCUCUCAGCUGGAUCUCAGCCUUCGAGAGCCCAAAGCGCCCUCAAAGUGAGUGCUGUAACUCCUUCACACGGUGUGACACCUGGGAAGGCCUGGCCUUUGGUUCUGAAAUAUCUUGAAACCUCCUUCUAGCAUUAUCUCAGAUCUGCUUUUGACCUCGGGGGAUGAAAUUGAAAGAGCUGCAUGUGCAGAGGAUCAUUUCACUGCGAACAAACUGCAGUGCAGCACUAGAUGUCAGUAGUGCUUUGCUACUUUCUGCGUCCAAUCAUACCGGCUUUACUUGCUGCUGGCCUUUGGUGUGUGACGUUCUAUUUGCUUCCCUAACAAAUAUCAGAUAUAUUAACACGAAAACUUAUCAAACCAAACCUUCUUUAAUGAAGAGCACAACGAAGCACUGUUGGCUGCAGGUGAUGGCUUGAAGUGGUGAUUGAGCACCUGGUGAAGGGGUGAGGCUGGCCCAGGCAGAUUGCUUGCACCUGUGCUCCCCUGGAGACCAGGCUCUAUGAUUCCAUAUUCUAUUCUAUGACUCACAGUAGGGCCCCUACCCAGGGCUCAUAUGAGGGUCAGCUGCUGUAGAGAAAGCAUCUCUUGGGCUGUUUGCUGAGGAUUGCAGUGUGGCUGGAGAGCCCAGUCAGCAGUUGGGUACUGACUUGAUACAAUCUACUCACCACUGGAAGGCAUCUCUUUAACUGGAGAAAGCAGUAUAUGAAAAUGGUGAAAUGGAGCUAUGUGGAGUGAUCUGGAAGGAGCUGUGUUCUCUGCUGGUAGGGUGAUGAGGAGAGAGCAAGUCUCUUAUCUGGCAAGGACAUUUGUACUUGUAGUGCCAGUAUUGUCACAAGGCUGUGCACAUGCCUGGUUUUUUUUACAUGGUGGUUGUGUCCCGCCUUGUGUCCAUGGCUUGUCAUCCAGGGCAGAAAGGAUGGCUUUAAAGGGUGUGCCAGAGGUUCCAGAGAUAAGCACAGUGGUGGAAGUUCAGCCAAUUUUUGCAUGCAACAAGCCUGAUAAGGAAACAAGAGGCAGACACCAGAGAAUUGCUUCAUUAACUACAUUUUCCAUCCUGCUGGCUCCUGUGCACUAGAGAAGUCAAGUGAAAUAAGCAGAUAUAAAUACAAAAUAAUACAAAAGCAAAUGGGAGUUGAAGCUGUAUUAAAUAUGGGAUAAGUGAAAGGCCGGUUUAGAUAUAUUUCUUGUCACUGCUUUUAAAAAGAAGCUUCCAAGCAGACUGAUAGCUCUAGGGGUCGGAAGGUGCUCGGGAAGCAUUUCACCUCUAAGAGCAGGUCUGC